rnacentral:tRNA from 1 species
UCCAUAGCUCAGAGGUUGGAGCACCGGUCUUGUAAACGAGGGGUCGUGAGUUCAAUUCUCACUGGGGGCU